rnacentral:rRNA from 1 species
CCUACGGGAGGCAGCAGUAGGGAAUUUUACGCAAUGGACGAAAGCCUGACGCAGCAACACCGCGUGAAUGUUAAACCCUUCGGGGUGUAAAGUUCUGUCAAUAGGGACGGAUUUUGACUGUACCUAUCAAGGAAGCACCGGCUAACUCCGUGCCAGCAGCCGCGGUAAUACGAGGGGUGCAAGCGUUGUCCGGAUUCAUUGGGCGUAACGCGUUCGUAGGCGGCAAGGUAAGUCUGAUGUUAAAGCCCGGGGCUCAACUCCGGUUCGUCAUUGGAUACUAUCUAGCUAGAAUGUGGUAGAGGUAAAGGGAACUCCUGGUGUAGCGGGGAAAUGCGUAGAUAUAAGGAGGAACAUCGGUGGCGAAAGCGCUUUACUGGACCAUUAUUGACGCUGAGGAACGAAAGCCAGGGGAGCAAAUGGGAUUAGAUACCCGUGUAGUC